GCCAGACUCCUACGGGAGGCAGCAGUGGGGAAUAUUGCACAAUGGGGGAAACCCUGAUGCAGCGACGCCGCGUGAGUGAAGAAGUAUUUCGGUAUGUAAAGCUCUAUCAGCAGGGAAGAAAAUGACGGUACCUGAUUAAGAAGCCCCGGCCAACUACGUGCCAGCAGCCGCGGUAAUACGUAGGGGGCAAGCGUUAUCCGGAUUUACUGGGUGUAAAGGGAGCGUAGACGGCAGCACAAGUCUGGAGUGAAAUGCCGGGGCUUAACCCCGGAACUGCUUUGGAAACUGUGCAGCUAGAGUGCAGGAGAGGUAAGUGGAAUUCCUAGUGUAGCGGUGAAAUGCGUAGAUAUUAGGAGGAACACCAGUGGCGAAGGCGGCUUACUGGACUGUAACUGACGUUGAGGCUCGAAAGCGUGGGGAGCAAACA
rnacentral:rRNA from 1 species